rnacentral:sRNA from 18 species
CCUAGCACUUACGUGCCAGGCUGAGCUAUGCCGUGCUUUCAGCACU